rnacentral:rRNA from 1 species
AACGCGAAGAACCUUACCAGCUCUUGACAUGUCUCGUAUGGGCCGGGGAGACCCGGUUCUUCAGUUCGGCUGGCGGGAACACAGGUGCUGCAUGGCUGUCGUCAGCUCGUGUCGUGAGAUGUUGGGUUAAGUCCCGCAACGAGCGCAACCCUUGUCCUGUGUUACCAUGCCGAAAGGCGGCACUCGCAGGAGACCGCCAGCGAUAAGCUGGAGGAAGGUGGGGAUGACGUCAAGUCCUCAUGGCCUUUAUGUCCAGGGCUACACACGUGCUACAAUGGGCGGUACAAAGCGCUGCUAAGCCGCAAGGUGGAGCCAAUCGCAAAAAGCCGCUCUCAGUUCGGAUUGCAGGCUGCAACUCGCCUGCAUGAAGCUGGAAUCGCUAGUAAUGCUAUAUCAGAACGAUAGCGUGAAUACGUUCCCGGCCUUGUACACACCGACGCAC